rnacentral:rRNA from 1 species
AGCCUGAUGCAGCCAUGCCGCGUGUGUGAAGAAGGCCUUCGGGUUGUAAAGCACUUUCAGUCGUGAGGAAGGUGGUGGAGUUAAUAGCUCCAUCACUUGACGUUAGCGACAGAAGAAGCACCGGCUAACUCCGUGCCAGCAGCCGCGGUAAUACGGAGGGUGCGAGCGUUAAUCGGAAUUACUGGGCGUAAAGCGCAUGCAGGUGGUUUGUUAAGUCAGAUGUGAAAGCCCGGGGCUCAACCUCGGAAUAGCAUUUGAAACUGGCAGACUAGAGUACUGUAGAGGGGGGUAGAAUUUCAGGUGUAGCGGUGAAAUGCGUAGAGAUCUGAAGGAAUACCGGUGGCGAAGGCGGCCCCCUGGACAGAUACUGACACUCAGAUGCGAAAGCGUGGGGAGCAAACAGGAUUAGAUACCCUGGUAGUCCACGCCGUAAACGAUGUCUACUUGGAGGUUGUGGCCUUGAGCCGUGGCUUUCGGAGCUAACGCGUUAAGUAGACCGCCUGGGGAG